rnacentral:rRNA from 1 species
AGUGAACGCUGGCGGUAGGCCUAACACAUGCAAGUCGAACGGCAGCACAGUAAGAGCUUGCUCUUACGGGUGGCGAGUGGCGGACGGGUGAGGAAUACAUCGGAAUCUACUUUUUCGUGGGGGAUAACGUAGGGAAACUUACGCUAAUACCGCAUACGACCUACGGGUGAAAGCAGGGGAUCUUCGGACCUUGCGCGAUUGAAUGAGCCGAUGUCGGAUUAGCUAGUUGGCGGGGUAAAGCCCACCAAGGCGACGAUCCGUAGCUGGUCUGAGAGGAUGAUCAGCCACGCUGGAACUGAGACACGGUCCAGACUCCUACGGGAGGCAGCAGUGGGGAAUAUUGGACAAUGGGCGCAAGCCUGAUCCAGCCAUACCGCGUGGGUGAAGAAGGCCUUCGGGUUGUAAAGCCCUUUUGUUGGGAAAGAAAAGCAGCAGGUUAAUACCCCGCUGUUCUGACGGUACCCAAAGAAUAAGCACCGGCUAACUUCGUG